UUGCGGUUAAAAAGCUUGUAGUUGGAUCUCGGCGGGCAGGGGGUGGUUCGCUCUUCAGCGCUACUGCCCCGCUUUGCCCGUGUGAUUGGCGGAGGUUUCGGGGUGCUCUUCGUUGAGUGACUCGGAGCGCCGUCAGGUUUACUUUGAAAAAAUUAGAGUGCUCAAAGCAGGCUUUUCACGCUUGAAUAUUCGUGCAUGGAAUAGUGGAAUAGGAACUCGUUUCUAUUUUGUUGGUUUUCGGAAAUCGAGUUAAUGAUUAACAGGGACAAUUGGGGACAUUAGUAUUCAGACGACAGAGGUGAAAUUCUUGGACCGUCUGAAGACUGACUACUGCGAAAGCAUUUGCCAAGAGUGUUUUCAUUAAUCAAGAACGAAAGUUAGAGGUUCGAAGGCGAUCAGAUACCGCCCUAGUUCUAACCAUAAACGAUGCCAGCUAGCGAUCUGCCGAGUUUUUUUUGUANGCUCCGCAAGAAGCUUUCGGGAAACCCAAAGCUUUUGGGUUCCGGGGGAAUAUGGUUGC
rnacentral:rRNA from 1 species